rnacentral:snoRNA from 1 species
UGCACAUACCAAUAGUGAGAGUGUUUUGAACCAAAGAUGAUGAUUAAUUCUAUUUUGUGCAUCUGAGUUCCAGU